rnacentral:lncRNA from 1 species
UCUAGCUCUGCGCGGCCAAGUUCUUUUCUCCUUGGUGGUGGUGCACUUAACGGGGCCUUGGCGAGGUGGAGUAAGGGGACAGUCAGCCGCUGGAAGGGUCCAGGGAAUGUUCGAGUUUAUUCCGGGCCGUCGGGGAGCCUCUCAGAGAGGGCCGGCCCUUCCCGAUCGCGUCCGCCGGGGUCGCGGGUCCUCCGGUUGCGGCCGGGUCUUACAGGCCGGUGGCCGUGGUUCGGAGGGUCCCGCCAGGGGCCGUUUCGACAUAAUUCUGAAGGGCGCGUCCUCGUUUCGAACAUUGUGCGCUUUUCCUCAAAAGCCUUUAAAGUAAUCUUUUGAAAAAAAAAUUUUUUUUCCAGAAGGAAAAGAACUUCCGCUGUCGAGGGCAGCAUAACAUCCCCCUUCCGCGCGGACCUGGCGACCCCGGCGCGUUCCAGUGAGUGCUUGGUGUAAGUUGUCUCCACAGGACUUCUUUUGUCUUUCAAUUGGGCUUUGUCUUUGUGUGGAGUAUAUUUUUGACACAUUUAGGCAGGAAGAUAAAGCUUCUUUUAAAGCCCUUUAGGGUGCACCUGUUCUAUAGGUAGCGGACCACAAACCAUUUUGCCAAGGGACGGAAAGGAUCUGUAGCCCAUUCUCUUCAUUUGAACUUUCUGCUCUGGGCUUCCCCACGGAGCUUCAAAACGGAUCUGUAGGAAGGACGAGGUUUUAUUGCACUAAAGUACUAUCAUAUUUGAACUUAUUUGCUUUCUUCCAGAAAAUAGGAAGCAGGAGACAAUGGAUUAACUGAUUAAGUCUCUAGAGAGAGAGAGAAAAGAGAAUUGACAAAGACUUAACUCCAGUUUUGGCACCAAAGUAAUUUUCUACAUUUGGGAAAAUUAAUAUACAACUCAGUAUAUAACUGACAAGAAAACUGGUACCUAUUGAAAUGGUGUAAUUUGAGAUGAAAUAAAGCAUGACUUUUUUAUAAGUAGGAAAUUAAUUCAAGGAAUUCGCAUCGGUGAUACCAUUGAGAAAAAAGUUCACUAUGAAAAUUUACUUGUUAAUUAUUUAUAUUUGGAAAGUCUGUGUCUAUAAACAGUCAAAAGUCUCUUGAGUGUUUUUUAGUCAACCUUGGUGUUCUUACUCCUAUCCAAACUUGUCCUUCAUUUUCCUGAUUGAAUGUCUAGAGUUAAUCACUCUUAAUGUGACUCCUUAGAGACAUUCACACUCCAUAGGUAAGUGACCAGAAAACUCCCCUGCCAGUGUUGGUUGCCAGUAAGCACUGAAGGAGUUUUAUGACUUUGCAAUAUCCGUGUUUUGUUUUCUUUAGAAAAAUUUUUAUUGGUGCAUAAUAAUUAUACAGAAUAAUGGGUUCCAUUGUGGUGUAUUUCAUAUAUGAAUGUGACAUAAUUUGGUUCAUUUCACUUCCAAUACCUCCUUAAUGUCCCCUCCAUCCCUCUAAUAACCAUGAUUUCAUUUAGCCACAAAGGGGUCCCAGUGAGCUAAGUGGACAUAGUUAAAUAAUUAAUGAGGAUUCUGAAGAUAAGUUGGUGAGGGUAUGCAUGUUUAUUGGAAAAGGACUUUCAAAAACUGUUAGGACUAUAUGCUAACUUUGUAUGUACGCAUGCUCUGUCACACAGGGAUGCAUGUGCAUGCAUAUCAAGAUAAAAAUAGUGGCUUUUUAUUCUUGUAUUUUAUGAAACAGCCCUAAAUGGAAAAAGGCCAGCAGAAUAAUGGGUAAAUUGUGGUAUUCUUAUACUAUGGAAGACUGUUCCACAAAUAGAAAGAACAAACCGAAGGUAGUUGCAAAAAUGUGGGUGAAUUUUGCAAAGUUUUGAGUGAAAAGAAGCUAGGCAACAAAACAAUGUCUGUCUUUCUCCAAGACAGGGAUUUAAAGCUCCUUAGAUAACACACAUGUAUUUGUUCUCUAUUGCUGCCUGACAAUUGAAGAAUAAUGUGUAAUAUCUAGGCAUAUCCAGGAAUCCAGGCAUGGUGUAGGUAGAUCCUCUGUUCAAGAUUUUACCUAGCUGCUAUCAAGUCAUUGGUUGGGUUACAGUUAGCUUAAUUGGGAAAGCUUAAUCAGGGAAGAAUAUUUGCAUUCUCACUAGUAGGCAAAAUUCAUUUUCUUAGAACUAUAGGACAUAGUGGAUGCUGUCAUCUGGAGGGUGAUCUUAGCUUCUAGAGGCUACCUGUGGUUCUUAUUACGUGACUCCUCAGGAAAGGCCUAUAUUCUCUGUGCCAGUUGGUAGAGAUCACUGAGGUCAUAAGAAGGCAUGUCAGCCAUAGUAUAGUUGUAACCUAUUGGGUGGUAAAGUUUGCUGGGUUACUUAUGUCCAGAGAUGGUUAUUACAUAGAUUAAGCAAGAUUAAAACAAUGCCAGCGCUAUUGGCGUUUUUGUAUAUUAGGGAAUUGGGACACUUCUCCCUUGAACUCACAAGUUUCUUGCCUCAGUGUAUUGAGUAGCUGAGAUUACAGGUGCAUACCUCUGCCCCUGACUGCAUAGUUGCUCUCCUUGACAUGUGUGGACAGCUGAACUUAAAGUCGCUCAUGUGAAUUUUCAGGGACACCAAAUAAAACAGACACACUUUACCUUAAAACAAGCUUCAGGAUAGCUUCUCCACUCUCGGCCUCAGGCUCCCCAAAAGGGAGAGCAACAGUAAGUCACGAGAGGCUGGUGAGAGAGAGCGAGCACGUUCGGAAGUGGGCUUUUAUUGCAGGGACUCUUGUUCUUUAGAAAGUUCUAUCCAAAAAAAGGCCAGAAGGGGCUGGGUUACAAGGGACAGUUGAGUGUAACUUAACCUCAGGGGGUGACACCUACAUCUGAAGGACAUGUCUUUUACUUCCUGAUCUGGGACAACGCCCAAGUCACCAUGAAAUGUAGUGAUUGGUCAGAGGCUCUUGCUUCAGGACUGGAGAGUCAUUCAUAGUGGCUUCCCACACAAAGUGUUUUCUUUUGGAGAGCUGUGAUACAUAUCACAGGGAACCCUUCAAAUGAGUUUGGUAGGCAGUGGGAGUUUGGAUGCCACCUACCUGGUAGUGCCAGGCCCAUCAUGUGUCUGUCUAUGGAGGGUCAAGGGGAAUACUACUGGGGCACAAGCUUAUUGUGUCUGAUGUACAAAAUAAGUUGGGUCAACAUGCAGCAUGCAUCCAGAGUUGGGAAACAAGUCAUCAACUAUGUUAGCAUAUUUGCAGAGAGUACCUCUGCUAGUGGGAUACCUUUGAGCACAUGGGCUCCAUAGUAGGAGGUCAGUAGGAUGUUGGUAACUGGGUCAGGGGUUGAUGGUCAUCUAAGGAAUGUGUUCUGGGCUCAUGGCAUGGGCAUAGCACUUGGACACUGCUGACUACCAUGCAGCAGUUAUAUCCAGAAGGUAAAGUUUCCUUCCUUUUGUGAUGUCCAUCCAUUUACCCCUUACACAUUCCUCUUAUUUGGUCUUGUGGUAUCUCUGGAGAAUGGUCAUAGUUAUAGCCCUGUCUUUACUGGGAGAGUUGGGUUCUUUUGUGUUGGUUAGUUGAGACACAAGGGAGGCAGCACAGUAAACAUCUAAUAUAAUAGAAGCAUCUUAAUUACUGUGAGAGAGGUGUUCCCUGGAGGACUUUUGGGAAGUUUGUAGAUGACCAUGGUGCUUAGUCAGCCAGAGGGGAGUGAGAGAUGAUGAGAUCUGUGGGUGGGUCUCUGCCUUUUUGUUAAGUUCCUUGGGUCUCUUAAAAAAAGAUGGGGUUUUAAUGAUCAAGGGUAUCCAGGGUAUCCAGAGCCAAGAUGACUGCCUGGCAUUUGCCCAGCUGUGUUGCUUCUUGGGUUUAGAUUUUAAUUAGGACCAUCCUGGCUGAGGAAUGGAAAGCAACAACUCUCCUUUAAAAUGCAUAUACGAUAGUCAGUAGUUCCUUUCCCCCAUCCUACCCCCAGGGAUUGAACCCAUGGGCUCUUUACCACUGAGCUACAUCCCUAGCCCUUUUUUAUUUUGAGAGAGCUUGUUGCUAAGUUACUGAGGAUCUCAUUAAGUUGCUCAGACUGAACUUGAAUUUGUGGUCCUCCUGCUUCUGCCUCCUGAGUUGUUGGGCUAACGGGCAUGUGCUACUGCACCUAGCUAGUAGUGCCCUUUUGUAAUGAAGUCUCUGAAUUCCAGUUACUUUUCACUCAGUUGAUCCCAAGGGGCUUUUCAGAUUAUCAGUGAGUCUCGAGGAGGAGUCACCUCCUCUAGCACCCUUGCCUCAGGCAAGGGACUGAAGUCAGAGGAAACCCUCUUCUCCUAUAGGUGGAGUAUACUAGAAGAUUUAGUUUUGGUUCUACCCUGUCUUAAGGAGGCCUAAGUAGCAGUAUGAAGCUCUGUCCUGUUUCUGUGACCUUUGGGUAUUAUAGGGUCACAGGCUCAGGAUAUAUUGGAGUCUUUAUUUCCAGGAGAUACCAGUUGGUGGCCAGUCAUUAGUUUUGAUGGCAAUACCAUGAAGCUGAGAGGGGCAAUUUCUUGCAUUAGAAGCCUUGGAAGAACUAACAGUCUUUAUUUCAGAUUAAGAAGAAGAAACAAUUGUAUUGAAUGGAAGAGCAAUGGAGGUAAUCACCCUCUCACAAACUGUGUAUUAUGCAAAUUUUAAUCAUUGAAGCCCUAUUUUUUUAAGAUGGACACAAUAUCUGUAUUUAUUUAUUUUUUAAUCUUUUAAAAUAUAUAUUUACUUUAGUUGGAAAUGGACCUUUAUUUUAUUUAUUUAUAUGUGGUGCUGAGACUCAAACCCAGGGUCUCACACAUGCUAGGCAAGCGCUCGACCACCGAGCCUCAACCCCCUAUUUUAUUUACUUUUAUGUGGUGCUAAGGAUCGAACCCAGUCCCUCACAUAUGUGAGGGAUGCACUCUACCACUGACCUAUAACCUCAGCCUCCCCUAUAACUUAAAACAUUGAGUUGUAUUAACUAUUUUAUCUGGGUAUCGAGGGGUCUCAUUUUAUUAAUCAAAUCUGUGUAAAAGUCUUACUUCUUAGUUUGUGAUUAUUUCUUGUAUUAGAGGGUUUAUUCUCAAUAUGAAACAUUUGGUCCUAUGACUGGAAAAUUUAAGCAAGGCUCAAGUUAAAGUUAGGGAUGCCUAAUUUUUCCUCCAUAUUUACUCUAGUUUUAAAGGGUAUAAUACUUAAAGUUAGUGGGAACCCCAGGUAUAACCAUAAUUUGACCUCUAGAUUUAGUAAUCCAUAUAAUUAUUUUAAUUGGUGCACUUUAGCAAAUGUUAAACUUAAAUGUUUAAUUAACCCCCCCGCCCCCAUCUUGUGUUUUUUUUCCUUAAAUCACUAAUCUUCCAUUGGUUAGUCCUGGCAUUUGGUAUUUACUCAGUAUUAAAUGUUUAAAGUUUUCCCUCUAUUUUUCCUUCCUUUCUGUUUUUUUGACUGGUGCUGCCUAAAGCCCAAGGCUUUUAAAACUUUUUGGUUUUAAGUCUUUGAGCUGUCUGAAAUGGUGGUUCUUGGUUUCUGUCUGUUGUUGAUAAGAGGAAGAAAGAGAGUGGUGGUCACAGAACCUAGUGCUUUGGUUCAGUUGUCCCUCUGGGAUAGUCAGACCUUAAGACAAUCAGUCCUUCUACUCUUUUUUUUUUCUCUCUCUUUUAUUUUAUAUAUUUUUUUCUUUUUAAAUAAAAUCUUUGGAAGACUUGAAUCAUAAAGAUCAAUAAAUCUUUAAUUACCUAAAAGAUUUAAUCCCCUUUGUUUUUACCUGAGAAACUCCUGGGUACUUCAAAUGGUCCAGGAUCAACGGUCUCCAUUAGUUGUUUCUGUUACCCCGUUUGUAGGCUCUCACCUUUCUUUCUAGUGUGUCCCUCUAGACCUCUGUAAGGUGUUAGGGGUGUAGAGCAACAGGUAUAAAGGACAGGGUUUGCAAAUCCCAGUGGACCAUUGCUAGUGAGGUGCUAUCGUCUCCCUUGUAAAGGGGGUGCCUCGUCAGGCUGGGAGGUAUAGUCACCUUCAUAGAAUAUUCCAUCCCCAGUGCAAUGGGCAGUUAGAAUGCCAGUCUCCCUCUAGCACUCUGCUGGCUCUCAUAUUUACCCACUGCCUACCUUCCCCUUCUGCUUCUCAGUGACAAGUCAAUCAACCAAAUAAGGCCUUCAGAAUAUAGUUGGUUUCACUCUGACCACUACUAGGAGUGGCUGUUGACUGUGGUUGCCCCUCUUGUCCUAUUAUGGCUAGCAGUUGUUCCCAAAGGUCCCUUAGACUGUCUGACUCCUUCCAAAUUAGGGAGGGGAGUUUUGGCAUUAUUCAGUAGAGAAAAACAGCAAUACACAGCAGUGCAGGCAUAACUCAGUGAGCCAUGGAGCCUUACAAAAUGGUAUUAGCUUCAUGGGAGAAUCAUGUGGUAAGGCAAGAGAAGUCUAUUUUUGUGUCCCUCAUGGGUGUGACCAUACUCAAUUUGCUACGUCUUGCUGUAUUUUUCUAUUUGGGUCUGGAGGUCUCUCCCUGCAGAGUGGCUAUAAAUUCUAGCCCUAUCCAGAACAGGAGACUUACAUCAUGGUCAAGUGAGAUAUAAUAUAGGAGACAGCAGAAAAAACACAUGAAAUAGCAGAAACAUUUAUGGGGCUGUAGCUCGGGCAGAGCGCUUGCCUAGCAUGUGUGAGGCAAUGGGUUUGAUCCUCAGCACCACAUAAAAAUAUAUAAAUAAAGUCAUUCUGUCUGAGUAUAACUACAGGGAAAAAAAAUUAAAAACAAAAAGCUGCCCCUAAGAGCCUUGGAGAAGUACAGAAACAAUAGAGUUCUCAAUAGUGGGGUAGGGAUUGAGAGAGAAAGGACAUUUGGAACUCUGCUUUAUUAAGGUCUGUGGGCAUUGUCCUUCAGACUUUCCCGCUGAGGUUGUGGAUUGACUAAUGUAGAGAAAAUACCAUUUGAAGAUUGACUUUCUUAAGUCACUCUGGUGUUAGCAGCUUGAUGUGUUGCUUUUUUCAUCAGUUGAAGGAAGAGACCAUGUAGUCAAUGACAACACAGGGGAGAAGCUUUAACUAGGCCAAAGGUGGCAGGAAUGAUUUGGGAACGCCUUCACCAUACAAGGGGGUGGUCUACUGCUGAACCAUAUCCCAGCCCUUUUUUAUUUGAGACAGGGUCUUACGCCUCAAUUUUGUGAUCCUUCUGCAUAAGCUUCCUGAGUAGUUCAGAUUAUAGAUGUGUGCCGUCAUGCCCAGCAUGACUAGAUUUCAAAUAGCUUUUCUGAAGAUAUAAAGGGAUGCUAAGGUAGCGAGUAGAUGAAGUUUAUGACACCCUUUAUAUUCAAGCAUAACAUCUGUUAUUGUACAUACGAAAAUAUGGUUUUAAGUUAAAUUUAAAAUGAAAAUAUGGUCUUUUAUUCCAUAGCAGGUAUUGAAAAUGAAAUUGGAGCUGAGAUAAAUUGAUGAGCACAGUCCAUUCUUUGGCUGUUUACCAUCCAUUCUGCACACAUUGGAUAGUCCUCAAAAUAAUUAAACAGGUAUCAUAUUUCUGCUUAAGAAGAUAAAAAGGAAAAAAAAAAAAACUCAAUUCUUCUCCAAAGAGUGAAAAAUGCAUAGUCCUAUAGUCAUUGUGUCUACCCCCCAAACCAUGUUAAUUACUCCUCAAAUUUACUUCCUCACUGAAUAUUCUGAUAACUGAAGAUAAUAUUAUAAACUUAAUCUCUCAUGUAUAUAAAAUUAGGAAAAAGAAUGGUUAUUUUUUUCUUUUGCUCAUUUUUAUUUUUUCUUUGACAUUUUUUAUUGAUGCUCUAUAGUCAUACAUAAUGAUGAGAUUUGUUGUUACAUAUUUUAUACAUGUAUACAAUAUAGCAAUUAUUAGUUUGUUAGUAAAGACAUACCUAGGACAAGGAAAGAAAAAAACACAAAACUGUAAUUGGUCUCAAGACUGUAGUUUAUAGUUCAUUUCAUUUAUGACCAUAUUUAUAUUUCCUGUUAUGCUGUCAUGAGUCAGAAUUUCAACUGCUCUGUGUACCUGGUGGAGUCACUCAAAACCUUAUUCCCCAAGAGUCCAUGUCCUCCCUUAUCCUGCCUUUUUCAGUUGUAAUUUUCUAUCAGCUUAUUCUAUGCAGUUUAGAAGUCCUUGUGGUUUGUACACUUCCAUCUUGUUCCAGUUGUGUGGUAGUGCUACAUUUUCCCUUUGGUAUUUGAGAUUAAUUAAUUCUGCCAAUAGAUUACUCCCCCCACCCAUUAUCUGUUUUUAAACUUGUUUGUUUCUUGGUUUAUUGCCAUAUGAAGCCCAAAAUGGCCAGGUGUCAAUCUCAACCUCCAGUGUACUAAGAUGUAAUUGUGUUUCCUUGGGAAGCAUUCCUAACUAAGAUCUUCAGACCUGAAGCAUUUGUAAAUUGCUGGCAUUGGAAGCAAAAAUAGUUUAAGGAACAAUUCCACUUUUACCAUCAAUUCCUGGUCCAGGGCAUUUUGUCUGUGGGAAACAGUACCAUGUGAAACUCUGAUUCAAAGCAUAUAACCUGUUCUGUGAGAUGGAAUCCCUUCUGUUAGAGUAGUCUCUUCCAUUUGGCCCUGUAAGUGAAUGUUCAAUAAGCCAUUCUACCUUUCAUUCAGAUAAACUAUUUAUGAGUGACAGUGUAUGAUAAAACCACUUGAUGGCAUGAACAUGGCAGUGAAAAGAGUUUUUUGAUGAGAAAGAAGGCUGUGAGUGCCAUGGUUAUAGGUAAAGCAUUUGAGUGUGCAGGUGGGUUCUAGCAGAAAUAUAACCAGUAGAAAAGCAGAGCCACAUCUAGAACUUUAUUCUGGUGAGGAAGAAUCUUGUUCCUAUGGCAAUGAAUAAUUCUCUGGUAUAUCCCUUGUUGAUGUUGCUCUUUACGCUCCCACCCAUGGGUUAUGGCAGAUCGCAUACAUGGUGACCAGGUUGGUGACUCACUGUAAAAAUUUAAAAAAAAAAGUGAAUUUGGAGGGAAAGAGCACUUGGAUCUCUCUCCACUUGAAGAUGUUUCUGAAAUCAUGUGAGGUAACAGGUCUAUUGCUGUAAAUUAUUAAAAAAAAUUAACAAAUUUAGGCCAGUAUUGCUCUCUUAACUGAUCUCUAGGUGUGGUCUGCAGACCCUCUAAAACUGAUAAUGACCCUCCAGAGAGGGAGACUGAUUUAACUGCUCAGGUCCAUCAGGAGUUUGUGAGAUAUGUUAGACAAAGGGAAAAGAUAUUAACAGUGGAGAGAAAACAAGAUUUUGUGCAUGAGGGUAAAAGGAGAAGGGAAAUAAUUACCUUUUUUUUUUUUAAUUUUUUAUUGUUGGCUGUUCAAAACAUUACAUAGUUCUUGAUAUAUCAUAUUUCACACUUUGAUUCAAGUGGGUUAUGAGCUCCCAUUUUUACCCCAUAUACAGAUUGCAGAAUCACAUCAGUUACACAUCCAUUGAUUUACAUAUUGCCAUACUAGUGUCUGUUGUGUUCUGCUGCCUUUCCUAUCCUCUACUAUCCCCCCUCCCCUCCCCUCCCCUCCCCUCUUCUCUCUCUGCCCCCUCUACUGACAUUCAUUUGUCCCCCUUGUAUUAUUUUUCCCUUUCCCCUCACUUCCUCUUGUAUGUACUUUUGUAUAACUCUGAGGGUCUCCUUCCAUUUCCAUGCAAUUUCCCUUCUCUCUCCCUUUCCCUCCCACCUCUCAUCCCUGUUUAAUGUUAAUCUUCUUCUCAUGCUCUUCGACCCUACUCUGUUCUUAGUUACUCUCCUUAUAUCAAAGAAGACAUUUGGCAUUUGUUUUUUAGGGAUUGGCUAGCUUCACUUAGCAUAAUCUGCUCUAAUGCCAUCCAUUUCCCUGUAAAUUCUAUGAUUUUGUCAUUUUUUAAUGCAGAGUAAUACUCCAUUGUGUAUAAAUGCCACAUUUUUUUUAUCCAUUCAUCUAUUGAAGGGCAUCUAGGUUGGUUCCACAGUCUUGCUAUUGUGAAUUGUGCUGCUAUGAACAUCGAUGUAGCAGUGUCCCUGUAGCAUGCUCUUUUUAGGUCUUUAGGGAAUAGACCGAGAAGGGGAAUAGCUGGGUCAAAUGGUGGCUCCAUUCCCAGCUUUCCAAGAAAUCUCCAUACUGCUUUCCAAAUUGGCUGCACCAAUUUGCAGUCCCACCAGCAAUGUACAAGUGUACCCUUUUCCCCACAUCCUCGCCAGCACUUGUUGUUGUUUGACUUCAUAAUGGCUGCCAAUCUAACUGGAGUGAGAUGGUAUCUUAGGGUGGUUUUGAUUUGCAUUUCUCUGAUUGCUAGAGAUGGUGAGCAUUUUUUCAUGUACUUGUUGAUUGAUUGUAUGUCCUCCUCUGAGAAGUGUCUGUUCAGGUCCUUGGCCCAUUUGUUGAUUGGGUUGUUUGUUCUCUUAUUGUCUAAUUUUUUGAGUUCUUUGUAUACUCUGGAUAUUAGGGCUCUAUCUGAAGUGUGAGGAGUAAAGAUUUGUUCCCAGGAUGUAGGCUCUCUAUUUACCUCUCUUAUUGUUUCUUUUGCUGAGAAAAAACUUUUUAGUUUGAGUAAGUCCCAUUUGUUGAUUCUAGUUAUUAACUUUUGUGCUAUGGGUGUCCUAUUGAGGAAUUUGGAGCCCGACCCCACAGUAUGUAGAUCAUAGCCAACUUUUUCUACUAUCAGACGGCGUGUCUCUGAUUUGAUAUCAAGCUCCUUGAUCCAUUUUGAAUUAACUUUUGUGCAUGGCGAGAGAAAGGGAUUCAGUUUCAUUUUGUUGCAUAUGGAUUUCCAGUGGAAAUAAUUAUCUUAUGGACAAGGGUCAUCCUAGGGAGAGGGGGACAAGAGGUUCCUGGCACCUGCAGUCACCAUUCUUCCUCUUUAACAGCCAGAGACAAAAUACCUAGGCUUAAGGUAGCUAAUGCCUAAAAUAAAAUUUUUAAAAAGUGGGGAUAAAGAAUCACUUUAUCCAAUUUGAGCCCAAGGGGAAUAGCAAAAGAACAUUAUAUUAUGUAAGUGCCAGAUUGAGCAAAGAUAAUGGUAGCUGUAGAUUAGUGAUUAAAUAUCCAAUCCAUAGGUAUCAUGAGAGAAAUAUAAGGAAAUUAAGUAGAUUAUAUACAUUCUAGAAUAUGUAAUUGAUUUAUUUUUUGAUACAGAUUCUCUCUAUGCUGCCCAGACUAGUCUAGAACAUUUGGGCUCAAGUGAUUAUUUGUGUCUCAGCCUCUUGAGUAGCUGGUACUGCAGGCACAUGCCAUCAUGCUCUACUAUGCAUUAAGAUAUUUUAGUGUAAAUAAUAUGAAAUAAAUUUAUGGCACAUUAAUUUAAAAGAAGUUUCAUAAUUUGGUCUCAUUAAAUACCAAGUUUACAUAAAGGGCAUUAUUUGGGUUUUGCUCAUGCAUAAUGUGCCUAGCAUGCACAAGGAUCUGGGUUUAAUGCUAAGUACCACACACACAAGAAAAUUGGCACUCAAUAGUCAUACUUGGAUAUCUUCCUAAAUUUAAACAUUGUUCUUUUAUAGCCCUACACAUGUACCUUACACAACAUGGAGGAAAAAUUGGUAUUCUUUCACUUUUAACUGUAGGGUUGACUACAUUUUUUUUUGUUUUCUUUUUUUUUUUUUCCUUCCUCAACAUGGGAUUGAACACAGGACCUUAACAAAAACAUGCUAGACAACCACUGUACAUUCCCCAACACUUGAUCUUAUUUUUUAAAUUUUCUUACAGUAACAGUAUUUUUUGCCUUAAAACAUCCCUACGUAUGCUCAAUAUAUAGCAAAUUAAAGUAUAUUCCUGUCAUUUAUGUUUGGUUUAACACAUGAAACUCUCUGGGCCUUAAUUAAGAUAGUUCAUAUGACCCAAAAUCAAUUAAUAUAUGGUCUUCAAGGAUAAAAUAUUAUAAAACCUUUCUCCACUGUUUCUCCUUUUGAUCAGUCUUCAUUACCUAUUCUUAAAUCCAGAAAUAAAUGAGUAAGUAAAUGGUACUGAUAAUCAAGUACUGAAGUCUUAAAUGCUGUGAUUCCAUUCAUAAAGCUUCCUGUAGUCAACUUUCAAUAAUAUUAAGAUUACUGAUUCUGUGCAAUAAUAGUUGGUAAGUAUUUUGUUUUUUUUUAUACUUUGAUUAAUAUUCCAUUCAUUUCCUGUUUUAACAGCUUCCCAGAAGUGGCGUGCUGUCUGGUCAGACCUUGGAAGGCUGUCCUGAGGUACCUCAACACCUUUCUUAUCACACACAGUCUCUGGAGAUAAUACCUCCAUUGUAGCCCCCUUUCUCCAGGACCACAGGUAUGAUAUAAUACUGAUAAUGUCUUCCUCCAGAACAACAUUCAGUUGUCACACUAAUAUAUAAUAUUUUUUAGUCCUUUUUUGCUUCUGGUAGGAACAUAUUCCUCACUUAAUAAGUUAUAAUUAUAAAUUAAAAUAAUCAGGGACUUUUUUACUAUAGAGGCUUUAGUAACCUCUUCUAAUGCCUCUGUAGUUUCUGGAUCAUAUAUGAUAAUCUAGUUGCCCCUAGGCUCUGAUAUAAGGAGUUGCCACAUAUCAUUAAGAUAAGCAAAGACUGGUUAUCUGCUGGGUUCCCUGGAAAUAAAAGAUCUCAGAGAUCCAGAGCUGUUCGUUAUCUGUACUCCCCCCCCCUGUGCAUUAUGCUCUGGGUCAUCAGUACCCACAACAGUUGUCAUUGCUAUUGUAGUCUUUCCAGACAUCUGGAACCAAAUCUAGAUCUGAUGUUUCACUUAAAGGAGAAAGUGUUUUCCUUCUUUUCAGUCCCUUAAUAGACAAUACAAUACUGGAAGAAAUUACCUCUUUUCUGUAUCUUUGGAUGCUUUAAGAACCCCUUAGGAUUAAUUGAGAGAAUAGCACUGGAAGUUCAUGGACCAUAUGAAUGGCACUGUUGAAUGUCAUGCAUAAUUGAACUUAGAAGAAUAUUGCUGUUUCUCAUCCUUUAUCCACUGUCCCUAAUAAAGGACAAAGAUCCAGGAAACUGGCAAAACUUGAAUUCAUCUUGGUGCUAGAGUGCUGAGCAACACAUUGCUUAAGAUGAUCUCAGGAAACAAAACAAAUCUUUUAUCUUUUGGGAUCUUUUAUCUCACAGGUAGAAAGUAAGAAUCACAUGCCUUUUUAUUAUUGAGGCCACAAUACUAGAUGUUAACAACAAUAGCCUUUUUGGGAUUACAGACAUUACUGGUAAUAACUAAGAUAAGCUUGUUUACUUUUCAAAAUAAUUUAUAGUUGCUAGGAUUUUAGAAAAUAAUUUGAUUGGAACUUUUAUGUUCCUGGUGGGUCCUGUAUAAUUAGUCUAAUUGACAAACACAGUGGUCUCCACAAACAAUUCCUUUUAAAUUAGACUAAAAUGAAUUAUCUCCUGCAUUUGUUUAUCUUGUCCAGACCUGUUUUUAUAAACUGUUGAUCUUAACUCUGCCACAUAAGAGCAAGUACCUGGAGAAUACACAUUCUUGAUCUGCCUAAGGGCUUUUAGUUUUGUUUUCAUUUUUUAAUUUUUUUUUGUGUGUGGGGGUGGUGGUGUGCUUGGGAUUGAACCCAGGGGUGCUCAAUCACUAAGCCAUAACCCUAACCCUUUUUUAAAAAUUUUUUAUUUUGAGGUAGGAUCUUGCUUAGUUGCUUAGGGCCUCACUAAAUUGCUGAGGCUGGCUUUGAAUUUGCUAUCCUUCUGCCUCAGCAUCCUGAACUGCUGGGAUUAUAGGUGUCUACUACUGUACCUGGCUAGUUUUGUUUUUUCAGAUGAAAGUUUAUAUUUAAAUAGAUUCCAUAUCAAAUAAACAAUACCAUGACUUCUGAGAGACUCUGUUGCUAAUCAGGACCCGGAGAAUAUACAACCUUGAUCAUCAUGACCUCUUGCCUUUAGUGUGGUAGGGGCAAGAUAAAAAUGUAUAAAAAUAGGUUUGGGCAAGAUUUGUGAUUAUCUAGUCCAGACUACGAGGUGCAGACCACUAGGUGUUUCCCUUCUUGCCCUCCUGAUUGUAAACUGUGGAUAAUCAAAACACCAGUGAGACCACAUUAUGUAUUCCAUGUAGACCUUCUGAUAAGGGGCCUUCUCAGUAGGGCCUCACUGCCUGGUAUAUAUAUAAGAGUCAAUUAAACUCUUAUUUGGUAUUGCUCCUUUGUUACUGCAAGGGGAAAUCAGACAUGUUUUGUCCUUAUUUUUAAAAUUUAUUUAUUUAUUUUUCUAGUUUUAGUUUGUUAUGAUUCACAAUUAAACAGUACAUGUGUUUUUCAUAUAGAACAUUUUAUGUCUUUUUGUGUUGUGAACUGGCUGUUUAAUGUAUAUAACUGCACAUACUUUGUGUGUGUGCGUAUAGUUAGUGCAUGUAAAAAUCUAUUCUUAGCAACUUUCCAGUAUCUAGUAUAUUGCUAUUCAUUGUAGUCACUGUGAUAUAAAAUAAGUCUCUUGAAUUUAACCCUCUUAUUUAAUAAAUUCUGUAUCCUUUCCUAGUAUCUCCAAACUCCUUCCCUCCAAGUCUCUGAUAACCACCAUUCCACCAUUUUACUGUUUCUGAGUUCAGUUUUUUUUAAUCCCAUUUAUAUUGAGGUCAUUUGAUAUUUUUCUUUCCGCUUCUGGCUCAUUUCACUUGCCAUGAUGCCCUCUAGGUUUAUCCAUGUUGUCACCAAGGAAAGAUUUCCUUUUUUAAAGCUGAAUAAUAUUCUACAGUGAGUAUAUAUAUUACAUUUUCUUUUAUCUAUUCAUUCUUUUUUGGACACUUGAAUUGUUGAAAUAGCUAUUGUCAGUAGUGUUGCAUGAAUGGGAAUGCAAGAUGUCUGAGGUGUUCUGAUUUCAUAUUCUUUGGAAAUAUACCCAGUAGAGGGAUUGCUAUAUUAAAUGGCAGUUUUAUUUUCAUUUUGGUACCAAUGAUUGAGCCACAUCCCCAGUCUUUUUUUUUUAUAUUUAUUUUUUUAGUUAUAGGUGGACACAAACAAUAUAUUUAUUUUAUUUUUAUGUGGUGCUGAGGAUUGAACCCCAGUGCCUCACGCAUGCUAGGCAAGUACUCUCUCUCUGAACCACAACCCCAACCCCGGCCACCCCAGCCUUUUUUUUAAAGACAGGAUCUCACUAAGUUGCUAAGGGUCUCGCUAUGAGUUGCUGAGGCUGACUUGUUCUUGAAAUCCUCCUGUGAGUUGCUGGGACUAUAGGUUAGUGCCACCAUACCUAGCUUUAUUUUUAAUUCGUUGAGAAACCUUUGUACUGUUUUUCAAAAUGGCCAUAGUAACUCAUUUUGAAAUUGAACUCCUUAUCCUAUAUAUAGCCUGCAGAUCAAUUGACGUUAAAUGUAUAGAUGUGCUUCUGGGUACUGUGUUUUGUUUCAUUAUCCUGUGGGUACAAUUUUAUUUCACUGUAUGCAAUUUUGUUUCCUAUAGCUUUGUGGUAGAUUUUUCAAAUUAAUUUAGUGUGGCUCUGGCUUCAUCCCACCCCCCGCAAUCCCUACCCCCUCCCCGAAAAUUCCUUAGGUUGUUUUGGGCAUUUGAGAUUUAUCCCGGGGAUAAAUUUUACUUCCUCUUUGUGAAUGAUUCCAUGUGCUGUGUUUUAGUAUUUUGGUGAAAAAUUUUAUACCUGCAUUAAUCAUAAAUAUUUGUCUGUAAUUUUAUUUUUUCAUAUUGUCCUUAUUUGACUUUGAUAACAGUAAUGCUGUCCUCAUAAAAUGAAUUUGGAGUUAUUUGCUCUUCAGUAUUUCAAAGGGUGUGAAAAGGAUUCCUAUUAGUUAUUUAGACAUUUUGUAUGUAGAGUGCAGCUGUAAGACACUGAAUCUGGGCUGUUCCUUGCUGGUAAAUUAAUUAUUAUUAUCAUCAUCAUUGUCACAGUGUUAAUGAUGACAAUGGUAAUAAUAAUUAUUAUUUUUAUUUUGGUUGUG